GACGAACGCUGGCGGCGUGCUUAACACAUGCAAGUCGAGCGGUAAGGCCCUUUCGGGGGUACACGAGCGGCGAACGGGUGAGUAACACGUGGGUGACCUGCCCUCAGCUCUGGGAUAAGCCUGGGAAACCGGGUCUAAUACUGGAUAUGACUCCAUGACGCAUGUUGUGGGGUGGAAAGCCUUGUGCGGCUGAGGAUGGGGCCCGCGGCCUAUCAGCUUGUUGGUGGGGGUGANGGCCUACCAAGGCGACGACGGGGUAGCCGGCCUGAGAGGGCGACCGGCCACACUGGGACUGAGACACGGCCCAGACUCCUACGGGAGGCAGCAGUGGGGAAUCUUGCGCAAUGGGCGAAAGCCUGACGCAGCGACGCCGCGUGAGGGAU
rnacentral:rRNA from 1 species